rnacentral:rRNA from 1 species
AUGACUGAGGCAACCGAGCCGACGCCGCCGGAGCCACCGCCCGCGCCUCCGACCGCGGUGAUCGAGGAGCCAGCAGAGGAGCUGCACGAGCGGGCGCCUGCGUCCGCGGUGGCCGAGCCGCCACCUGUGAGGUCGCCCGUGCCCGCGGUGGCCGGAUCAGGGCAGCCAUCUGCGUCGUCGGAGGUAAAGCAAGGUGAGGCAGAUCGCAGCGGAUCUGACCCACGGCCGCCGCAUGGGGACCGCGGGCUCUCGCAGAGGGAUCCUGGCGGAUCGCCUUCUCCGCAUUCCGAUCGAGAUGCGGGUGUUUUGAAUCCAACACGGUGGCGGAUUCGUUUCGCCGUCGUCCGGAAUGGAGAGGCCUGGUUUGACGGAUUCUUGCAUGCACAUUCUUCGUCGUGCUGCAGGGUGAUGAUGGAUCAUGACAAAUACAUCCUCGCUGGCCGGUACCUCGACGGCGGCGAACACAUCUCCGAAGGUGCGCAGUUCAUGAUUGAUGAUUAUGAGGUUUUUGUUCUUAACCUGUUAUAG